GUUAUGUAUAUACAGCCGAACAAGAAAGUGCCCACCACUACACCGGACCGCAGAGACCGGAAGGGCAACCUAGUAACCCGGGAUAGCUGCAAAAUGGAAACCGUGUGCACCUCUCCAUGAAUAAUAUGCAAUUCGAGUCUCGUGAGCGUCCCAAGUCCAAACAGGCCAUAUGCUUGGGAUACGUCUCCUCCCAUGUAGCCUGUGAAGAUGGAUAAUGAAAGGAGUAGGAGCACACAUCCAAACAAGAGAAGAAAAAGUGCAAGCCCAAUGGAUUUCCAUGGGACUUUACCCGAUGUUUCUCCUGAGAAGUCAAACCUCGGG
rnacentral:lncRNA from 1 species